UACAGAGGGUGCAAGCGUUGUCCGGAAUCACUGGGCGUAAAGGGCGCGUAGGCGGCUGGGUAAGUAGGAGGUGAAAUCUCAUGGCUCAACUGUGAGGCUGCCUUCUAGACUGCCUGGCUGGAGCAUGGUAGAGGCUGGUGGAAUUCCCGGUGUAGCGGUGGAAUGCGUAGAGAUCGGGAAGAACAUCGGUGGCGAAGGCGGCCAGCUGGGCCAUUGCUGACGCUGAGGCGCGAAAGCGUGGGGAGCAAACAGG
rnacentral:rRNA from 1 species